UAUUGUGUCUAUAAUUACAGAACAUAGCUGGAGGUGUGGAGCUUCGGCAUUGGAACCCGAAGGCGUCGUGUUAUCCGCCGUGUUGGGGCUGAACCUCAGUAGGACUGUUACUCGGAGCCACCGCUCGGCUCGGGUCACACGUUUGUGCAUGUGGCUGGAGCUCCGCUGAUACAUCAGGAAUCUUCUGUUUCUCCCACUGACCCUGGAGAAGAGAAAGAAAACCAUGUGUGUCUAUAUUAGGAAGAGCUGGGCGGUGGACUGGUUACAGUGCAUGGAGAUGGGUGAAGUGGUGUACAGGGAGUCGAGCACCUCGGCACUGAAGGAGUCCCAGGUCACGGAGGAGAACUGGUCCUCCACUGAGCUCAUUCACUGCAAAUCUACGAUCUGAUUUAAAAAAGAAGCACAAGCACCUGUUGAUGAGGCUGAAGUAUCUCUGCAGGUAAUCGGGGUCUACGUGACUCUUACAGAGCUCCAGCUGUGUACGGGGGUAAUAGUGCACGUAAUUCACACACAUCUCCUCCAUGAUCCCAAAUCCACCCUGCACACACACACACACACACACACACACACACACACACACACACACACACACUGCUUAAUUGGCUAUUUCAGAGCCAUUUUGUUAAAAGCAUUACUGCCUUAGACCACAUUCGGUCUCCACAGGACGAGAUUAAGGGUGACGUCAAGGCUGUGAGAUGAUGUUAGGGUUUAGAAAAAAAAAGUUGCUCUCCCAUAAGUGAGCGUAACUAUAAACAGACAAAAAUAUGAUGCCAUCAUUGUUAAACUGCUGCAACAUAAAAGGAAUGAAACGCUCAGAGACGUGAUGUUGUAAAGAUCAGUAAAAAUAUGGACUUCAGGGUGAUGAGAGAGGUCGUGUGUAUCGUAUGUUCACACUCACCACUGUGGCUUUGACUCGGUCUUCUGUGUUAUAAGUGCAUUUUGUCAGAAGCACAUCACCCUGAGAAAGAGAGGGAGGGAGAGAGAGAGAGAGAGAGAGAGAUAUCUUGUGAUCAGCUGCUAUUUGUAGUUGGAUAUUUAAAACCGGCUCAGUGUUUGGCAGGUCAGUGUGAAGCUGGCGGCUCUCGCUGUGUGUGUGGGAGCUGAUAUUGACGGUCUAAAUGCAGCAGAUCUGUUCUUUUGUCGGUGGCUUGUUGCCUCGAGGCUUUUCCUGUAAUGUCUGUGUUAUCUCUGUUUUUUUUCGGGAUAAAUACAAGUGCUGUUUUAGUUGUGCUGGCGUGGAGAACUUACUGGCAGAACAGUCACCAUCUUUCUGAGGAUGCGAAUGAUCUAACAGAUGAAGAUGAAGAGAGAGAGAGGUGUUAAUGCUGAAUAAAAAUAAUCCAGCAUUUCAAAUUUUAAUGAACUUUAUAAUAUUCAGCAUUCUGUAAGAUGUGUGGGGUCAUGUUGUAAACAACCAGCAGUGUGUGU